AGCGUCAAGCAGUCAAAAGAUCAUGCUGGAAAACAUAGCAGAUGGGACCCAACUAGAGAGGAGAAGCCGCAAGGGGCCUAGGGAAGAACCAAGUCAAACCUGAUCUCAGCCAGCUGCAGAAGGACAUGGCAGAUACCAACCAACUAUGCAAAGUUUUGAAGUUUUAGACUUUUUUAAAGUAAAGAUUUAAAGUUUAUCUUUCGAUUGUCUUUGUAUUUGCAUAUUUGUAUUUAUAACAGGUAACAAAAUUGUAAGACAAGUACAAAGUUUCAAAAAUUGUUUAAUUAAAGCUGUUAGGAAGAUUCAA